AACGAACGCUGGCGGCGCGCCUAACACAUGCAAGUCGCACGAGAGGCUCUUCGGAGUAGUAAAGUGGCGCACGGGUGAGUAAUACAUGGGUAAUCUGCCUUUGAGAGGGGAAUAACCAGCCGAAAGGCUAGCUAAUACCCCAUACGCUUCCAGUCCCUCGGGUAAGGAAGGAAAGCUCCAUCGUGGAUGUGGCGCUCAAAGAUGGGCUCAUGGCCUAUCAGCUUGUUGGUAGGGUAACGGCCUACCAAGGCAACGACGGGUAGCUGGUCUGAGAGGACGAUCAGCCACACUGGCACUGAGAUACGGGCCAGACUCCUACGGGAGGCAGCAGUGAGGAAUAUUGCGCAAUGGGCGAAAGCCUGACGCAGCGACGCCGCGUGGGGGAAGAAGGUUUUCGGAUUGUAAACCCCUUUUAGGAGGAAAGAUGGGGUGGGUAGCCACCCGGACGGUACCUCCAGAAAAAGCCACGGCUAACUUCGUGCCAGCAGCCGCGGUUAUACGAAGGUGGCGAGCGUUGUUCGGAUUUACUGGGCGUAAAGAGCACGUAGGCGGUUUGGUAAGCCCCUUGGGAAAGCUCCGGGCUUAACCCGGAAAGGUCGAGGGGGACUG
rnacentral:rRNA from 1 species